AUGAACACUAAUGAAGAAUCACCUGUCAGCCGUGCUGGUGAACCACUACCACUGUACUGUAUAAAAGCCUGGAAUUGGAGCUGCACUGUCGUUGAGCACAAGCUAUUGAGGAGACCUAUAGGAAAUCCUGCGUGCGUUGAACUUGCAGCUUUUUCCUUUCACCCUCCUUUCACCCUUCACAUGGACUGUUUGCCAUCCCGUGCUUUAGGAACCCCUGGACAGGACCACCAGACUCUGACAAACUUCUUUGCCACAGCUGUUACAUUGCUGAACCCUGACCCCCACUGCCCAGCAUGCCCUUCCACAUCUCUCCCACACAUGAAACAGAACUGUAUUCAUCACCACACUGGGCCAAGUCACUCAUUCAUGUACUGUACUAGUGAGUAUUAUUAGGUAAUUUUACUAACUUGUUUAUAGUUUCUGUAUAUGUGCCCAGUAGUUCCCAUAUACACUGUCAGUAAUGAUCUUGUACUUGCUGUAGACAUUGUAAAUUCUGCUUGCAAUUGGAAUUACACAGUUAGAUGCUAAACUGUAUUUUGUUGCCCAUGUACUUUCACAUGUGUAAUGACAAGGUGAAUCUAAUCUAAUCUAAUCCAACACCUACACUAAGAUGUCAGUUUGACACCCAAACAGACACAGUAGCCUUGUCACUUUAUUUCAAACAACUAUCCGACCCACAGGUGUGAAAACAACCAAGACAAGAAUAAAAACGGCAGGUGAAAUAAGAUUUGGAGGAGA
rnacentral:lncRNA from 1 species